AUUAAUUUCCUUUAUCUCCAGCUGUGCCAGCAUUAGUGAUUUUGAUUAAAAUUGCUGAAUAAAGUGAAUUAUUUUCAAAGACUUUUCCCAGUUCUAGGUCCUUGGAUUUACUGAAAAAGGGCCUUGAAAGUCCUGGAAAAGUCCUUGAAUUUCACUUUCACCUAAGGGCGGACACCCUGUGAAGAAGAGACAGUCAGAAAAACUAUGAAAGAUAGAGAUAGUAGAAGAUGUGGGGUUACAAACAUUGCAGUGAAGAUGAUGAAAGCAAGGCUGAGGUUGUAUGGUCACUUAUUAAGAAGAGAUGAAGGAGAGGCCAGGCCAAGAUAUUAUGAAAUAAAGAGAUCAGAAGAAGAUGUAGAGUGGUAGAGAUUUCAGAGAAAAUGAUGGAAGCAAGGUAGAGAUGGUAUGGACACGUAAGAAGAAAAGAUUGAGACAUUAUAGAGCUGGAGAUAAAGGGAACAAAGAACGAGCGAAACCGAAGACGAGAUGAAUGGACCGAUGGUG